CCUACGGGUGGCUGCAGUGGGGAAUAUUGGGCAAUGGGCGCAAGCCUGACCCAGCAACGCCGCGUGAAGGAAGAAGGCUUUCGGGUUGUAAACUUCUUUUAAGGGGGACGAACAAAUGACGGUACCCCUUGAAUAAGCCACGGCUAACUACGUGCCAGCAGCCGCGGUAAUACGUAGGUGGCAAGCGUUAUCCGGAUUUAUUGGGUGUAAAGGGCGUGUAGGCGGGAGCGCAAGUCAGAUGUGAAAACUCAGGGCUCAACCCUGAGCCUGCAUUUGAAACUGUGUUUCUUGAGUGCUGGAGAGGCAAUCGGAAUUCCGGGUGUAGCGGUGAAAUGCGUAGAUAUACGGAGGAACAUCAGUGGCGAAGGCGACUAUCUGGCACAUAACUGACGCUGAGGAGCGAAAGCGUGGGUAGCAAACAGGAUUAGAUACCCUUGUAGUC
rnacentral:rRNA from 1 species